AGAGUUUGAUCCUGGCUCAGGAUGAACGCUGGCGGCGUGCCUAAUACAUGCAAGUCGAACGAGUUCUGAUUAUUGAAAGGUGCUUGCAUCUUGAUUUAAUUUUGAACGAGUGGCGGACGGGUGAGUAACACGUGGGUAACCUGCCCUUAAGUGGGGGAUAACAUUUGGAAACAGAUGCUAAUACCGCAUAAAUCCAAGAACCGCAUGGUUCUUGGCUGAAAGAUGGCGUAAGCUAUCGCUUUUGGAUGGACCCGCGGCGUAUUAGCUAGUUGGUGAGGUAACGGCUCACCAAGGCAAUGAUACGUAGCCGAACUGAGAGGUUGAUCGGCCACAUUGGGACUGAGACACGGCCCAAACUCCUACGGGAGGCAGCAGUAGGGAAUCUUCCACAAUGGACGCAAGUCUGAUGGAGCAACGCCGCGUGAGUGAAGAAGGCUUUCGGGUCGUAAAACUCUGUUGUUGGAGAAGAAUGGUCGGCAGAGUAACUGUUGUCGGCGUGACGGUAUCCAACCAGAAAGCCACGGCUAACUACGUGCCAGCAGCCGCGGUAAUACGUAGGUGGCAAGCGUUAUCCGGAUUUAUUGGGCGUAAAGCGAGCGCAGGCGGUUUUUUAAGUCUGAUGUGAAAGCCCUCGGCUUAACCGAGGAAGUGCAUCGGAAACUGGGAAACUUGAGUGCAGAAGAGGACAGUGGAACUCCAUGUGUAGCGGUGAAAUGCGUAGAUAUAUGGAAGAACACCAGUGGCGAAGGCGGCUGUCUGGUCUGUAACUGACGCUGAGGCUCGAAAGCGUGGGGAGCGAACAGGAUUAGAUACCCUGGUAGUCCACGCCGUAAACGAUGAGUGCUAGGUGUUGGGUCCUUUCCGGGAUUCAGUGCCGCAGCUAACGCAUUAAGCACUCCGCCUGGGGAGUACGACCGCAAGGUUGAAACUCAAAGGAAUUGACGGGGGCCCGCACAAGCGGUGGAGCAUGUGGUUUAAUUCGAAGCAACGCGAAGAACCUUACCAGGUCUUGACAUCCCGAUGCUAUUUCUAGAGAUAGGAAGUUACUUCGGUACAUCGGUGACAGGUGGUGCAUGGUUGUCGUCAGCUCGUGUCGUGAGAUGUUGGGUUAAGUCCCGCAACGAGCGCAACCC
rnacentral:rRNA from 1 species